AGUGAACGCUGGCGGUAGGCCUAACACAUGCAAGUCGAACGGCAGCACAGUAAGAGCUUGCUCUUACGGGUGGCGAGUGGCGGACGGGUGAGGAAUACAUCGGAAUCUACUUUUUCGUGGGGGAUAACGUAGGGAAACUUACGCUAAUACCGCAUACGACCUACGGGUGAAAGCAGGGGAUCUUCGGACCUUGCGCGAUUGAAUGAGCCGAUGUCGGAUUAGCUAGUUGGCGGGGUAAAGGCCCACCAAGGCGACGAUCCGUAGCUGGUCUGAGAGGAUGAUCAGCCACACUGGAACUGAGACACGGUCCAUACUCCUACGGGAGGCAGCAGUGGGGAAUAUUGGACAAUGGGCGCAAGCCUGAUCCAGCCAUACCGCGUGGGUGAAGGAGGCCUUCGGGUUGUAAAGCCCUUUUGUUGGGAAAGAAAAGCAGCAGGUUAAUACCCCGCUGUUCUGACGGUACCCAAAGAAUAAGCACCGGCUAACUUCGUG
rnacentral:rRNA from 1 species